AGGGCUGUAGUUAAUAAUAAUAUUUGGCUUGCAUUCAAAAGGUGUCAGUGAAAGCUGACCUGCCUU
rnacentral:tRNA from 1 species